CGGACGGGUGAGUAACGCGUGGAAAACCUGCCGUAUACUGGGGGAUAACACUUAGAAAUAGGUGCUAAUACCGCAUAAGCGCACAGCUUCGCAUGAAGCGGUGUGAAAAACUCUGGUGGUAUACGAUGGUUCCGCGUCUGAUUAGCUAGUUGGUGGGGUAAUGGCCUACCAAGGCAACGAUCAGUAGCCGGCCUGAGAGGGUGAACGGCCACAUUGGGAUUGAGACACGGCCCAAACUCCUACGGAAGGCAGCAG
rnacentral:rRNA from 1 species